UAGUAGGGUACACCCAUACAAACACCAACAUAGGCCCCCUUACAAAAUUAUUCUUAUGGUUUAGAUUAGUUAUUAACUCUUUUGUCAUUAUAUUUAGACCUUUAGUGAGCCCAAUACGAAAUUUCAUUAAGGGCUAAGGGCACAUUUUUCGAGCUCGAACAGGGUACACGAAUUCUCAGGGUCGUCCCUGUCAAUUACAACACCUACUUAUUAUCAAGUUAAUCCAACCCACCAUAUAAACUUUAAGUAUAAUAUUAAAAAAUAAUAUCCUUGCUUAUAAUGCUUUGCCUUCGCUAUUUAGUUAAUAGUUAUAUAUUUGUUUUGUUAACGAGUUUGUCAUCUUGGUUUUUAGUUUUUUUUUGGCAGGUAGUUCUACAUUUAGUGUUAAUUGUUUGCCAUGGCGGUCUAAUAGACCGAUCUGAGGCAAAUGGCUUGGUCGCAUAAUGGGUAAAAAAGACAAGUUCUUAUACAGGUUUGUGGAUCAAAUGGUGAAAGAAGAGCAACCACAUGCAAGGCUAAUAGCCUUAUACCUACGUAAUUUAUUCCAUGUUUUUGUUUGAUCGUGGUUAGGUCUUGCUGAAAGAGCUAAAUGUUUUAUUUCGCCUUGAUAAAAGAAGAUAGGAUCGGCUUAUGGUCAUGAAGAUUGAAGUACAAUUCCAAUUGUCAAGGUUCUUUACUCACUUUGUUUGCCAUUCUUUGUAAAUCAUGUUGCUUUCUAAUUUACCGCAUUCUAUUCUUCUUGGCAGUUAAAUGAUGAUAAAAGCCCUCUUCAAAGAACAUUUGUUAAUCAGGUAAUAGCAUACCAAAUUCAUGACACAUUCUGCAAGUGGCUUUGUGUUUUGUUAAUCAGAAACUGCGCAUAUGGGCUCAACUAUUUAUUUAGCCAUAACACCUUCUGCAAAGUGGCUUUGUGUUUUGUUUAGUGAUUCUUCUGAUAAUAUAUCUAGAUGUUCACCUACAAUACGUUACCAGCGAUAUAGAAUGUUAGCGGAGGUCUAAACCUAUAAUGUAUAUAGGUUAUAGAUUAAUUUUAUAAGAAUUACAAACUGUUUAUGUAUUGUAUAUACGUGAUUAUUUUUGGAAUAGUGAAUUAUUAUGUAUGUAUAGUGGCCAUUUUGUGUUAAAUGACUUGGUAGAAACCACCAUAUG